AAUUGAAAUAAUAGGAGGCAAUUGAAAUACAAAUUUCCUUUUUUUAUUCUCUCUAAAGUAACCUAUCUCAUUCCCUCAACUCUCUUCUCUUAGCCUCACCCUCUCUCUUCUCGUCUUUUUAUCUCCCUCACAUCUAACCUCUCAGAUCUCUUUCCAAGUAUUCUCUUGCAGGUGGCUGGCGUAGGAGUCUCGACGGAGAUAGCGACGGCGACGGGGACGAGGCUCGACCGAAUAAUCAACACUCUAGGUGCGAAGGAGUGGAUGCACCAAUCUGGGUGCUUAGCAGAGGAGUGGCUUCGACGGUGCCGUGGGUGCGUCUGGGAUGGAGGUCAUUGGGUAUGAACGGAUCUGUCACAGCUUUAGCAGAGCUAGGGGUUUCUGCCAAAGAGAUUGUUUCACUAUCUCCUCAGGUUUGUUUCUUUAUCAGAGAAUGAUUUAUAUUCAACUUAUUAAGUAAUUUAUUAGUUUUAGACUGUGAAAAUUCAAGAUUCUUCCACUCAAACAUUUAUCAUCUUUGUAUUAUUCAAUCCAGACUACAAACAGAAGUGGUAGGGCUCCCUUUGAUUGUUUUGACUCAAGUCGUUGGCUUCAACGGUAUGUUGAGGCCCAGUGUUGCAUUGCUUCAAAUGACUACAAAGGUGGUCUGGAACUAUUUACAGAUCUUUCACAGCGUUUCCCUAAUAAUAUACACUUAUUACUUGAGAUUGCAAAGUUUA